rnacentral:rRNA from 1 species
GGCACGGGGAGGUAGUGACAAAAAAUAACGAUACGGGACUCAUCCGAGGCCCCGUAAUCGGAAUGAGAACACCCUAAAUCCUUUAACGAGGAUCUAUUGGAGGGCAAGUCUGGUGCCAGCAGCCGCGGUAAUUCCAGCUCCAAUAGCGUAUAUUAAAGUUGUUGCGGUUAAAAAGCUCGUAGUUGGUUCUGCGUGCCACGCUGUCGGUUCACCGCCUGCCGGUGCAACUGGCAUGCCGUGGCAUGUCCUGUCGGUGGCGGAUAGGCUUCGCGGGGUGCCCCAUGCGGCUUUACGUCAUGUGGGUCGUCGCUGCGCGUUGUCCUUGUACGCCGGCUCAAUCCUACCGCGGUGCUCUUUACCGAGUGUCGAGGUAGGCCGACAAUGUUUACUUUGAACAAAUUAGAGUGCUUAAAGCAGGCUCUUGAAUCAGCCUGAAUAGUGGUGCAUGGAAUAAUGGAACAGGACCUUGGUUCUAUUUUGUUGGUUUUCGGAAUCCAAGGUAAUGAUCAAUAAGGACAGGCGGGGGCAUUCGUAUUGCGACGUUAGAGGUGAAAUUCUUGGAUCGUCGCAAGACGCACUAGAGCGAAAGCAUUUGCCAAGUAUGUCUUAAUUGAUCAAGAACGAAAGUUAGAGGUUCGAAGGCGAUCAGAUACCGCCCUAGUUCUAACCAUAAACGAUGCCAGCCAGCGAUCCGCCGAUGUUCCUCCGAUGACUCGGCGGGGAGCUUCCCCCGGGAAACCAAAGCUUUUGGGUUCCGGGGGAAGUAUGGUUGCAAAGCUGAAACUUAAAGGAAUUGACGGAAGGGCACCACCAGGAGUGGAGCCUGCGGCUUAAUUUGACUCAACACG